GUAUAGCCAAGUAACCAUGGUUAUUCUAUUUAAACUGCACAACAUUUUUUUGAAUUAACACGUUUUAAAAUUUGAAGUGGAACAUAAAUCAAAAAUUUUUAGCAAAAAUGUCUGGUUGCCCACCUAUGUUCAGUUGCAUGUACACUCCGUACGGAUGUCCCCCUUGUAUGCCCUGUUCACCUUGUGGACCAUGUCCACCGCCUUGUCCACCGCCUUGUCCACAACCAUGCGAUUCCAGACUUCAGUAUUGUUGCAUUAAUCACGACAAUAAAUGUCCCAGUUGCUAAAUAAAAACUGUUGUUUUAACUUUAACUAAAUAGGAUACAUGUAGAAGAUUCGUCCGUAUAAAAUACAAAAAUUUCAAAGAAA